rnacentral:rRNA from 1 species
UUUAACAAAAACAUGUCCUUUUGGGUUUAAUUUAAGGUCGGGCCUGCCCACUGAUGAAUUUAAGGGCCGCGGUAUUUUGACCGUGCAAAGGUAGCAUAAUCAUUAGUCUUUUAAUUGAGGGCUGGAAUGAAUGGUUUGACGAAAUAUUAACUGUCUCUUUAUAAUAAGUAGAAUUUAACUUCUGAGUCAAAAGGCUUAGAUAAUUGUAAAAGACGAGAAGACCCUAUAGAUCUUUAUAUAUAAAUGUAUUUAUUUUGUUUAGAUUAGGUUUUAAUAAUUAUGUGAUUGUAUUUUGUUGGGGUGACGUGAAGAUAAAAAUAACUCUUCAUUAUUGAUACAUUGAUUUAUGAAUAAUUGAUCCGUUAUUAGCGAUUAUAAGAAAAAGUUACCUUAGGGAUAACAGCGUAAUUUUUUUUGAGAGUUCAUAUCGACAAGAAAGAUUGCGACCUCGA